rnacentral:rRNA from 1 species
UACGUAGGGUGCGAGCGUUAAUCGGAAUUACUGGGCGUAAAGUGUGCGCAGGCGGCAGAGCAAGUCGAGUGUGAAAGCCCCGGGCUUAACUUGGGGAUUGCGCUCGAAACUACUUUGCUGGAGUGUGGCAGAGGAAGGUGGAAUUCCACGUGUAGCGGUGAAAUGCGUAGAGAUGUGGAGGAACACCAAUGGCGAAGGCAGCCUUCUGGGCCAACACUGACGCUCAUGCACGAAAGCGUGGGGAGCAAACAGG